rnacentral:lncRNA from 1 species
AGAACGGGCUAUGACAACGAGCCACAACAGUCUGGUGUUACGAUUCAUCUGUGGCCAAACUAAGAGAGAAACCCUGUACUUGAUACCACCUGGCUGAGAGUCAUUCCAAAAGAAACAAAUCUGAAGAAGAUAGAUUAGGGAUCAUCCAAAAGUACAAACCUGUGUUCCCUGCAUUUCAACGACUCUGAUUUCAUCUGUGAGUCUAAAAGAAGUCAGACCCUUGACAAGGCUCUAAAGAAGAGACACCUCAAACCAGAUGUAGUACCAUCCCUUUGGCCAAACUGUCCCAACUAUCUCUAAACUCCUUAAGUUUAAUCAAGGGCAACUCAAGCUGCGACCAUGAUGAUCACGUAGGGCUCAACAGUUCAAUAAAAUGAGUUCUGUGGAAUAACUUGUUGACAAAUUGGCCAAGGAGACACUACCAUCAUACUUCAUCCUCAUCACAAAGCCAUCCCAUGAUGAAAAAUUGGGCCUCAAGUUGUAGCCAGCAUCAAGUUUGAGACAGAUAUGUCAUUCAAAAUGUACCACUCUGAUGUGUUGAUUGACAAAAAGGCAGUGUCACACAUCACCUCAAAAGGCAAGGUCAACACUGUGAUUCAAGCCAUCAAUUUGGCUUUCUCUCUGGGAGCAAAAGAAGAAUUGAAUCAAAAGAGACCUGGGAAGUCAUUUUCAACAAGUUUGUGAAGUUUCUCAACUCCUCAGAGAUUGAACCUAAGCAAGCUUCUAAGCUCUCUUUCAUUCUUGAGCGAAUGGCUCUCCUCUUCACCAAACCAACAGCUAGGUAAUAUUCACCUUGUCUUCUUUCAACCGCACUCAUGUGAGAGAAUGUGAGCUCAGGACUAUGUGGAAUAUCCUAAACCUCAAGACACCUGGAUUUGGCUACGAAAAGAGAGAUGAGCUUCGUGAAUCAAUCUCUGAGAAGAACAAACUUAGUCUCUUUUUCUUGAGAGAUUUUGUCGACUUUCUCAUCGAGUGGCAAAACAGUAAAGCACCUGGCCUCAGAAACCUUCCUAGCAACAAAGCAGAUGUGCUUUGCUGCAGCAGAUCUGGUAGAGUAUAUUCUCCUAGAUGAAGACUUCUCCUAUGUACUCCUCGACAUGUUCCAGUCAGAUCUCAUCGGAAGUAGGUUUGGCUGGUACAGACUACUAAGAUAUUUGUUAAUAGUAAGCUUCUUUAUCUAGGUAUGACUACUUCAGAAAUUAAAACUCUGCUAAAUGAAGACAUGGUAAAAGCUGAGCUCAUGGAUGCUCUCUACUUAGUUGCCGGGUAUAUUGGUUUUUCUUUGAAGAUCAGCUGUACAUCAUACCAAGAGUUAAUGUUCAUCAGAGACACACCUCCGGACUCAAUAACCUUCGAUAGCCCAACCAAUCAGCAUGUAGACCUGAAAGAGUUCAUCGACAUAAUGAGCAGAGGGGAGUUGUCGACUCCAUCCGACCUUCUCUUCCUCUCCUGUCUUUAUGCUCACUCCAUGUUCUCUUACAUCACAGCUACUCCUGAAGAGAAAGACAGUUUUCUUGGCACACCAAAUCCUAGAGUUUUUGUUGUAGAUAAUUUGUUGCCACAUUCAUAGACAGGAUGCAGAACAGUUUAAACUCGCCGUUGUGGGAGUAAAGUGCAAGGAAGGACACUCCUGGUCAGCUUUUCUUCAAAUAAUUUCAUUUGUUUUGUUUAAUGCCAUGGGUAAAAAUUUAAGUGCUAAACUGAAUGAUGACAUCCGAUUUUUAACAAAAAAGAGAAUGGCAGCUAAGAAUUCAGAAGCUAAUAGAAAAAAAACCCUAAUUUUCUAUCAAAAUUGGACCAACUUUGUACUUUUUGAUUGUGCCUUUUCUUUUUUAUAUGUUUUUAAUGUUUAUUUUGAUUAAAGUACUAAUAAAAUACCACUUCUAUUAGAAAUAUAUAGCCACAUUUUUAUUAUUUUGAUGAUUUUCCCUAGCAAAAUACUUUUAAAAACUCUUUAUUUUGUAGCAAAACACUUGAAGAGAGACAUUCCAUUUAGAAGAAACAAAUUCUAAAUAAACAAAGACCCAUAUUGGAAAUGCGUGAGCGCAGUGUCCUGUCCUGGUUACAGGAGUCCUUGGUCUGACCAAGUCUGAGCAGUACUAUUACUCUUUUGUCAUCGGAAGAAAAGCGCAAGAGGAUUAUAUACUCGUAAAGAUAAUGUGUCUCGAUAUUUUGGUGUACAAAACAUAUUCUAUUCUGAUAUUACAUAUAAAUAGUUUAACUGGAGAGUUCCACAAAAAUAAAUAAUUUUCGAAUAAAUUACUCAGUGAGGAACAAAGAGUUAUCAUUUCUCAUCCACAGCUCCUUCGUUUAAACUCUUGAGACCUGUUCCUUCCAAGGCCGACUUUUUUUCGUCUCUUAUUCUGAGAAAAAUAUUUCAUUGUUAAGAAUCCUUCAGUGCCCUUGAUGUAUAUAAGCCAGAAAUCCCUUGGAUAAUAGUAAAAGUCAAUAUUAGACUCUUAAUGAAUAUGCAGCCUUUUUUCUCUAUACUUUUGUAUGCAAUACUUAUUAUAUUUUGCUUAUAUCUGCAUAAAUAGAUUUUGUGAGGUGUUGAGUACUAAGUGAUUAUUUGAUAACAAAUUAUAAGUUACCUCUUAACUUCUGUAGACAUGCAAUUUCGAAACUUAGUUAGUUUUAAUCAUCUUCUAAAAAAUUUAUUUGGUUACCACUGUAUUGGAAUAUUAACCCCAUGAAGAUUUAGGAUUUCCACGCUAAUAAAGAUUAUUAAUAAAUGUU